rnacentral:rRNA from 1 species
AACGAACGCUGGCGGCAUGCUUUACACAUGCAAGUCGAACGGUAACAGGCCGCAAGGUGCUGACGAGUGGCGAACGGGUGAGUAAUGCAUCGGAACGUGCCCAGUCGUGGGGGAUAACGCAGCGAAAGCUGUGCUAAUACCGCAUACGAUCUGUGGAUGAAAGCGGGGGACCUUCGGGCCUCGCGCGAUUGGAGCGGCCGAUGUCAGAUUAGGUAGUUGGUGGGGUAAAGGCUCACCAAGCCGACGAUCUGUAGCUGGUCUGAGAGGACGACCAGCCACACUGGGACUGAGACACGGCCCAGACUCCUACGGGAGGCAGCAGUGGGGAAUUUUGGACAAUGGGCGCAAGCCUGAUCCAGCAAUGCCGCGUGCAGGAAGAAGGCCUUCGGGUUGUAAACUGCUUUUGUACGGAGCGAAAAGGCUCCCUCUAAUACAGGGGGCUCAUGACGGUACCGUAAGAAUAAGCACCGGCUAACUACGUGCCAGCAGCCGCAGUAAUAC